GUUCAGGCAUUUUUGCAUUGCUUUUUCUUCUUCUUUUCUUUUCUUCCUUUCUUUCUCUUUGUUUUUUUUUUUGCAGGAUCGACCUCGAUUCCUCUUUCGNUUUUUUUUUGCAGGAUCGACCUCGAUUCCUCUUUCGUUUACAAUAAGCCUCGGCAACUUACCGGACAGCACUCCACAAGUGCACUAAUUCAGAUUCAACCUCAGUCUGAG
rnacentral:lncRNA from 1 species